UACGAAGGGGGCUAGCGUUGCUCGGAAUCACUGGGCGUAAAGGGUGCGUAGGCGGGUCUUUAAGUCAGGGGUGAAAUCCUGGAGCUCAACUCCAGAACUGCCUUUGAUACUGAAGAUCUUGAGUUCGGGAGAGGUGAGUGGAACUGCGAGUGUAGAGGUGAAAAUUCGUAGAUAUUCGCAAGAACACCAGUGGCGAAGGCGGCUCACUGGCCCGAUACUGACGCUGAGGCACGAAAGCGCUGGGGAGCAAACAGG
rnacentral:rRNA from 1 species